AAAGUACUUCUAUCCAUCUAUAAUUAAACAUAUCUUUUCUCAGGACACAUCAACAUGAUUGUUUAUGAUAAACUACAAUAUUAUAUUUGUCACACGAUUCUAAACUAUGACUUAAUAUGACUCUAAAUCCAGCCAUUCUACAUCAAGUCACCUUUUCACUGCAGGACUUUUACUGUGUGCUUUACUGGGAGCUAACCUGACUCUCGCGCUCACCAACAGCACUGUCUACUAACAGUAUUUACUCACCAACGCUGACGGGAUAGCACAAUGUGCAGGCUGUUAGCAGUGAAGGUAAAACGCCAACAAGUGUUUCCACACCGGCGCCAUCACGCUGCUUCUCUGCCAGGUGUUGCACGAUGAUACUUCCGGGGUGUGUCCUGCAGAGAGGCUGCAGAGGCUGAAUGCAUCACGUGCUCUGCAGACAGCAUGUUAGUAAACCGUCAGUUAAUCAAACUCUGCAGCAAAAUGUGUCUUCAAACUGGAUAAAGUCAAUGUAUGAUAUAUUCUUGCAAUCCCAAACCAAUCCCAAACAUGGAGAAGCGUACGGACAGCAGAGCGUCAUACCUCAUGAAUGAAUUGAAUUGUUGUUGUUAGCAUCUGGAGCUAGCUGCGCUAACGGAUAUCAGGAUCUGUCUCUAGAACAAGGUCGAGGAGAGUCCUCUCCUGUCAGACUGAGAGGCUCAGAUAACUACAGCUCAGUGAGGAGGGCUAGGACAUCUGACAUCAAUGAAGACGGAGGCUUCUUGAGUUUCUGAAAAACUUAAGGUGCUGUGCUCUGACUUUUUUCUGAUGUCUUCAACAUACUAUACUAUGUCGUUGUUUCUGACAUUUUCAAUAGACUGUACUGACGUUAUGGUGCCUUUUUGUUCUUUACUCCCCACCUGAGUCCAAGGACAUCUGCUGGAGGAGUCCAAGGACAUCUGCUGGAGGAGUCCGAGGACAUCUGCUGGAAGAGUCCAAGAUUAUCUGCUGGAGGAGUCCAAGGACAUCUGCUGGAGGAGUCCAAAGACAUCUGCUUGAGGAGUCCAAGGACAUCUGCUGGAGGAGUCCAAGAAUAUCUGCUGGAGGAGUCCGAGGACAUCUGCUGGAGGAGUCCAAGGACAUCUGCUGGAGGAGUCCAAGGACAUCUGCUGGAGGAGUGCAAGGACAUCUGCUGGAGGACUCCAAGAAUAUCUGCUGGAGGAGUCUAAGGACAUCAAUGAAGACGUCGUCUUCUUGAGUUUCUGGAAAACUUAAGCAGUGCAGCGAGCCCCCCCCCCACACCAGCCACGGCAUCAAUGAAGACCAUGGCGUCCUAAGCUUCUGACAAACAUGAGGACAUUUCUGAUUUUAUGUAAAUAUAUGUAUAUUGUAUGUAUUAGUACUAGUAUUUAUAUUAGUAGUAUCAGUAUUAGUAUUAUUUAGCAGACUGGGGCCCCCCCCGCUGCCCGGGCAGGCCCCCCGCUGCCGGGCCAUCAUACCCCUCCCCCCCUGCUGCCCGGGCAGCCUCUCCCCACCCCGGCCCGGGAAGGCCCCCCGCUGCCGGGCCAGCCUCUCUCCCCUGGCUAGCCACGGCUAGCCACCCGGCUAGCCACCCGCCCCAGAGUUAGCAUACUUAGCAUACUUAGCACACUUAGCACGCUAAGUAUGCUAAGUAUAGGGGACUUUGCUGC